UUUCUUUAAGAAUUUACUUAAAGUAAAACCUGCCCAAUGAAAAUUAAAAGGCCGCAGUAUUUUAACUGUGCUAAGGUAGCAUAAUCAUUUGUCUUUUAAUUAAAGACUGGAAUGAAGGGUCUAACAUUUCUUAAACUAUUUUUUAAAUAAAAAUAAAACUUAUACUAAAUAUAAAAAUAUAUUUAUACAUAAAUAAGACGACAAGACCCUAUCAAACUUUACUUAAGUUUAGCUGGGGAGGCUCGUUAAAAAUUAUCUUAAAAAAAUAUAAUAAAUAGACCCAAUAAAAAUUGAUUAAAUGACCAAGUUACUGUAGGGAUAACAGCAUAAUGAGUUUUAAAAGUUCAUAUUUAAAAAUUAGCUUAUGACCUCGAUGUUGAAUUAUUUUAACUUUUAGGCGCAAGAGUCUAAAAAGUAGGUCUGUUCGACCUUUAAAUUUUUACA
rnacentral:rRNA from 1 species